rnacentral:rRNA from 1 species
CGUAGGGGGCAAGCGUUGUCCGGAUUUAUUGGGCGUAAAGAGCGUGUAGGCGGCUAGAUAGGUCCGUUGUGAAAACUCGAGGCUCAACCUCGAGACGCCGAUGGAAACCAUCUAGCUAGAGUCCGGAAGAGGAGAGUGGAAUUCCCGGUGUAGCGGUGAAAUGCGCAGAUAUCGGGAAGAACACCCGUGGCUAAGGCGGCUCUCUAGUACGGUACUGACGCUGAGACGCGAAAGCGUGGGGAGCGAACAGGAUUAGAUACCCUGGUAGUCCACGCCGUAAACGAUGGGUGCUAGGUGUGGGGGGGUGUCGACCCCCUCCGUGCCGAAGCUAACGCAUUAAGCACCCCGCCUGGGGAGUACGGCCGCAAGGCUA